UCAUCAAAAAAUUAAAAUAUUUAUCAUCUUACAUUAUAUAUAUAUAUAUAAAAUAAAAUAUAAAUAUAAAUAUAUAUUUUUUAAUUGCAUGCGCUAUGGAUCGGCAUUAAACACACGAUCAAGAAGUGUCCACAUCGAACAUGUGUCCGACACAGAAGCAUACAUGUCCGACACGAACACGUGAGGCGUAUAGUUGUGCCUUUAAUACAUAGGAAAUUAGGGGCGUGUUUGGUUCGAAGUUGGAAUCGAAAUCAGAAUCGAAAUCGAAAUAAGCUGGAAUCGAAAUCCAAAUUACUCAUUACCUAAUUCUGUUUGGUUCAUCACCUGAAUCAGAAUCAGAAUAAAUCAUUCACAUUGUCGGUGUUUGGUUCAGGUAAAUAUAAAAAGCGUAAUCAUAUUAAUAUAUUAACUUUAUCAUUAUAAUAUAUUAAUUUAAAUUCAAAUUAAAAAUUAAAUAUUAAAAAUUUACAUCAAAUUUUUGAAAUAAUGUCAAAAUUUUAAAUCUAUUUUUAAAAAAAAUUUGAAUUUGAGUGGAUAAUUCAAAAUAUAAAAUUAAAUUUCGAUUUAUUCAAAUUCAAACUUACAAUUUAAAUUUUAAUUUGAAUCCACAAAUUUAAUUUAAUUUUUAAAUAAAAUUUGAAUAAAACUUUAUAUAAAUUAAAUUUUAAUUUAAAUUCAAAUUCAUAAGUUAGAUUCGAAAUACUUGAUUAAAUUUUAAUUUUUAAUUCAAGUUCAAAUUAAAAUUAAAAAUUAAAAAUUUAAUUUCUAAAUUUAAACUCAUAUUUUAAUUAAAAAAGUUAAAAAAAUAAAUUUAAUCCGAAUAAAUAUUCAUUCCGUCUGGAUUCAACUUCCAAUCCGGCCUCCUAAGCCGGAUUGAAAAAAGAGGUGAUUCAGAAAUUCUCAUUCCACUCGAGAAUCGAAAUCGAAAUCGAAAUGGGACUCACGUGUACCAAACAUCAACAAACGAAUUCGGCCAUUCCGAUUUCGAUUUUAGCGUGAAAAAAAAGCGAACCAAACACGAUCUAGGUGUGUUUGAACCCUGCAACGAUCAAACUA
rnacentral:lncRNA from 1 species